CGACGAGUUUGAUCCUGGCUCAGAUUGAACGCUGGCGGCAUGCCUUACACAUGCAAGUCGAACGGCAGCACGGGUGCUUGCACCUGGUGCGAGUGGCGAACGGGUGAGUAAUACAUCGGAACGUACCUUAUCGUGGGGGAUAACGCAGCGAAAGUUGCGCUAAUACCGCAUACGCCCUGAGGGGGAAAGCGGGGGACCGUAAGGCCUCGCGCGAUUAGAGCGGCCGAUGUCUGAUUAGCUUGUUGGUGAGGUAAAACGCUCACCAAGGCGAUGAUCAGUAGCUGGUCUGAGAGGACGAUCAGCCACACGUGGGACUGAGACACGGCCCAGACUCCUACGGGA
rnacentral:rRNA from 1 species